rnacentral:rRNA from 1 species
UGUUAGCGGCGCACUUGUGAGUAACACGUGGGUAACCUGCCUGUAAGACUGGGAUAACUCCGGGAAACCGGAGCUAAUACCGGAUAGUUCCUUGAACCGCAUGGUUCAAGGAUGAAAGACGGUUUCGGCUGUCACUUACAGAUGGACCCGCGGCGCAUUAGCUAGUUGGUGAGGUAACGGCUCACCAAGGCGACGAUGCGUAGCCGACCUGAGAGGGUGAUCGGCCACACUGGGACUGAGACACGGCCCAGACUCCUACGGGAGGCAGCAGUAGGGAAUCUUCCGCAAUGGACGAAAGUCUGACGGAGCAACGCCGCGUGAGUGAUGAAGGUUUUCGGAUCGUAAAGCUCUGUUGUUAGGGAAGAACAAGUGCAAGAGUAACUGCUUGCACCUUGACGGUACCUAACCAGAAAGCCACGGCUAACUACGUGCCAGCAGCCGCGGUAAUACGUAGGUGGCAAGCGUUGUCCGGAAUUAUUGGGCGUAAAGGGCUCGCAGGCGGUUUCUUAAGUCUGAUGUGAAAGCCCCCGGCUCAACCGGGGAGGGUCAUUGGAAACUGGGAAACUUGAGUGCAGAAGAGGAGAGUGGAAUUCCACGUGUAGCGCUGAAAUGCGUAGAGAUGUGGAGGAACACCAGUGGCGAAGGCGACUCUCUGGUCUGUAACUGACGCUGAGGAGCGAAAGCGUGGGGAGCGAACAGGAUUAGAUAAAAA